GUGCUUGCUUCGGUAGCACAUACACUAAAGUUGGAACGAUACAGAGAAGAUUAGCAUGGCCCCUGUGCAAGGAUGACACACAAAUUAGUGAAGUGUUCCAUUUUUCA
ensembl:snRNA U6 U6 spliceosomal RNA